GGCAAUCUGCCCUGCACUCUGGGACAAGCCCUGGAAACGGGGUCUAAUACCGGAUACGACCAUCUCGGGCAUCCGAUGGUGGUGGAAAGCUCCGGCGGUGCAGGAUGAGCCCGCGGCCUAUCAGCUUGUUGGUGGGGUGAUGGCCUACCAAGGCGACGACGGGUAGCCGGCCUGAGAGGGCGACCGGCCACACUGGGACUGAGACACGGCCCAGACUCCUACGGGAGGCAGCAGUGGGGAAUAUUGCACAAUGGGCGGAAGCCUGAUGCAGCGACGCCGCGUGAGGGAUGACGGCCUUCGGGUUGUAAACCUCUUUCAGCAGGGAAGAAGCGCAAGUGACGGUACCUGCAGAAGAAGCACCGGCUAACUACGUGCCAGCAGCCGCGGUAAUACGUAGGGUGCGAGCGUUGUCCGGAAUUAUUGGGCGUAAAGAGCUCGUAGGCGGCUUGUCGCGUCGGAUGUGAAAGCCCGGGGCUUAACCCCGGGUCUGCAUUCGAUACGGGCAGGCUAGAGUUCGGUAGGGGAGAUCGGAAUUCCUGGUGUAGCGGUGAAAUGCGCAGAUAUCAGGAGGAACACCGGUGGCGAAGGCGGAUCUCUGGGCCGAUACUGACGCUGAGGAGCGAAAGCGUGGGGAGCGAACAGGAUUAGAUACCCUGGUAGUCCACGCCGUAAACGUUGGGAACUAGGUGUGGGCGACAUUCCACGUCGUCCGUGCCGCAGCUAACGCAUUAAGUUCCCCGCCUGGGGAGUACGGCCGCAAGGCUAAAACUCAAAGGAAUUGA
rnacentral:rRNA from 1 species